UUGGUAGUGGGGGUAUUCCGAAGUUCUGUCUCUCUCUGGCACAAGUUUGUGUUUAUAAAUUUUUUUUUAAAUAAAUUUUAUAUUUCAAAAUAUAAAUUUUUUUUUAAUUCGGUGAAAUUGAAAAAAAAAUUGAAGUAACAAAUUAAUAAAAUAAAAAUAUAUUUUGUAUACAUUUGUAUAUAUUUUAGGUUGUGUAACAUUUUUUCGGGUAAUUUCAUGUAUUACAUCAACGUGGGUAAAUUUGCUGGAAUUAUUAAUGGAAUUGCUGUAAUUUUAGUGGGAAAUAAUUGAAGUUUAAAAAUAUUCUUGAGGUAUAAAAUUAUUUUGACAGCCAAAGUCACUCAGGUUGAUGUCACGUGCGAUAAAAAAUUAACGAAAUUUGAAAAUUUAAAUUAGAUGGAGUCAAAAAGAAGAUUACCAAAGCCGGUUGGAAACAAUAAAACUUAUAAAUUUUUUAUCGCUGGAUUUUUGACAAUACUCAGUUGCGCACUUUACCCAGCGAUUAUUUCCCCAAUGUUUAAUCCCGAGCCAUGGAAAGAGUACAGAGAAAAAUUAAACGCUCAGAACCACGACGCGGGAAAACGAGACUAAUUUGUAAAUAAUUUAAAAAAAAGGAGUGAUUUAAAAAAUAAUGGCAUUUUGUUAAAUUGUUUUUUGUUCUUCAAAGUUCAUUGUCAUCACAAACAUCAAGAAAAACAUCAAAUGCUUCGCGAUUACAAUUACCUUCAGAUGUAAAUACAUACUUGUGAAAUGUACCAUCUACACAGA